AGUGAACGCUGGCGGCAGGCCUAACACAUGCAAGUCGAACGGCAGCACAAGAGAGCUUGCUCUCUGGGUGGCGAGUGGCGGACGGGUGAGGAAUGCAUCGGAAUCUGCCCAUUUGUGGGGGAUAACCUCGGGAAACCGGGACUAAUACCGCAUACGACCUACGGGUGAAAGCAGGGGAUCUUCGGACCUUGCGCAGAUGGAUGAGCCGAUGCCGGAUUAGCUAGUUGGAGGGGUAAAGGCCCACCAAGGCGACGAUCCGUAGCUGGUCUGAGAGGAUGAUCAGCCACACUGUGACUGAGACACGGCCCAGACUCCUCAGGGAGGCAGCCGUGGGGAAUCUUGGACAAUGGCCGCAAGCCUGCUCCAGCCAUGCCGCGUGUGUGAAGACGGCCUUCGGGUUGUAAAGCACUUUUGUUGGGAAAGAAAAGCAGCCGGUUAAUACCCGGUUGUCAUGACGGUACCCAAAGAAUAAGCACCGGCUAACUUCGUG
rnacentral:rRNA from 1 species